rnacentral:rRNA from 1 species
GACGAACGCUGGCGGCGUGCUUAACACAUGCCAGUCGAACGGAAAGGCCCUGCUUGCCGGGUGCUCGAGUGGCGAACGGGUGAGUAACACGUGGGUGAUCUGCCCCUUACUUUGGGAUAAGCCUGGGAAACUGGGUCUAAUACUGGAUAGGACCAUGCUGUAGGUGGUGUGGUGGAAAGAUUAGUUUCGGUAAGGGAUGAGCUCGCGGCCUAUCAGCUUGUUGGUGGGGUAAUGGCCUACCAAGGCGUCGACGGGUAGCCGGCCUGAGAGGGUGGACGGCCACAUUGGGACUGAGAUACGGCCCAGACUCCUACGGGAGGCAGCAGUGGGGAAUAUUGCACAAUGGGCGCAAGCCUGAUGCAGCGACGCCGCGUGGGGGAUGACGGCCUUCGGGUUGUAAACUCCUUUCAGCCAUGACGAAGCCCUUGUGGUGACGGUAGUGGUAGAAGAAGCACCGGCUAACUACGUG